rnacentral:lncRNA from 1 species
CAGAUGGCCCCAGCUGAAGUCUACUGGCACAAAGGACACAGAGGUUUCCUAACAGGAUCUACCUAUGAGGACAUUUCUGAACUGAUGAUACAGGUUUAAUACCAGCACUUAGAUGGUCACAAAAGAAGGUUCAUUUCAACCACAUAUGUGGCCUGUGAUUCUGCUGGUGGGCAUGAUUUGAGGAUAUCCUGCCCCUUUGAAUGGGACUAAGCUGGAUAUCACUGAGGCAGAAAGUGAGAAUGAAAAUAACU